rnacentral:rRNA from 1 species
UGAGGAAUAUUGCACAAUGGGGGAAACCCUGAUGCAGCAACGCCGCGUGGAGGAUGACGCAUUUCGGUGUGUAAACUCCUUUUAUAAGGGAAGAAAAUGACGGUACCUUAUGAAUAAGCACCGGCUAACUCCGUGCCAGCAGCCGCGGUAAUACGGAGGGUGCAAGCGUUACUCGGAAUCACUGGGCGUAAAGGACGCGUAGGCUGACUUAUAAGUCAGAUGUGAAAUCCUAUGGCUUAACCAUAGAACUGCAUUUGAAACUGUGAGUCUAGAGUACUGAAGGGGGAGAUGGAAUUAGUGGUGUAGGGGUAAAAUCCGUAGAUAUCACUAGGAAUACCGAAAGCGAAGGCGAUCUCCUGGGAAGUUACUGACGCUGAGGCGUGAAAGCGUGGGGAGCAAACA